GAUGAACGCUGGCGGCGUGCCUAACACAUGCAAGUCGAGCGGGGUUGUGGAGAAGUUUACUUUGAAGCAGCCUAGCGGCGGACGGGUGAGUAACGCGUGGGUAACCUGCCCUAUACAGGGGAAUAACACACCGAAAGGUGUGCUAAUACCCCAUAAAGCUAAGAGAUCGCAUGAUCCCUUAGCCAAAGAUUUAUCGGUAUAGGAUGGACCCGCGUCUGAUUAGCUAGUUGGUGAGGUAAAGGCUCACCAAGGCGACGAUCAGUAGCCGACCUGAGAGGGUGAUCGGCCACACUGGAACUGAGACACGGUCCAGACUCCUACGGGUGGCUG
rnacentral:rRNA from 1 species